AAAGACAGUAAAGGUAUUCUCUAACAACAAACCCUGGAUCACUAAAGCCUUGAAAACAACUCUGAAUGAAAAGAAAAUAGCAUUCAACUCUGGGAACAGGACGGAGUCCGAACUCAUUCAAAACAGACUGAAUAAACAAAUAAAAGCAGAUAAAGAUACAACGAGGGGGUUGAGAAACUCUUCUGGAGAGGAAAAGUUUGGGACACAUGGCAAGGUGUUAAAUCACUGGCCUCCACAAUAACAAUUGAGGAUCAUCCAAUACUUGGACUAAAGACUGUUUCAACAAGGCUGAGGACCUCAACUGAUUGGAUUGACCAGUCUGAUUACUCACAGGAGAGGAAGGAGAUAAUAGCUGAGCUCUCUCCAAUGACACUUGGCCACAAAACCUCAACUAUCUGUCCAGUAGCCAAAAUGAGCAAUUCCAUCUGCCUCAGAUUGUCUGAUUACUCCCCAGCUUCAGGAGGAUGUCAGCAUGCAUACUGACUCAGUUUGCAUAUAAAUGGCACAGAAGUGUGCACGAUGCUCUCCUGACAUUGCUGCAUCGCGUCCAUACCCAUCUUGAGAAGCCCAAAUCACUUAUUAGACUGGUCUUUGUGGACUUUUCAAGUGCCUUUAACAUUGUGCAUUUCCACCUAAUGUGAAGAAAACUGCUCCUAAUGGAUGUAAACCCACAGCUGAUCCUCUGGAUCCUCUCAUCCUUGACAAACUGACACAGGAUCUGAAAAACAGAAAGGGUCAUUUCAUACUGAUACCUUGGGAUAAUAAUUGAUCAGAGACUCAUCUUUCAACAAAACAAUGAAACCCUGUGUCAGCAGUUCCUUUCUCAGACCUGACCGCUUUCUAUAAAUGCUUCAUUGAAUCUGUAAUCACUUUCAAUAUCUCAGCUUGGUUUGAGUCAUUAUCAAACAUCAAUAAAAACCCACUAAACAAAAUCAUAAUAAUGAGCAGAAAAAUAACCAGGCUGGAGCAGGAACUACUCACUACCAUUUUCAAUAGAGAAACUAGACUAAUAGUAACACAAAUGGCAUCAAACACCACACACACAUUAUAUAGCUAAUACAGUCUUCUACCCUCAGGCCAAAUAUACAGGUCACUCACCUUUAUGACAUAGUCCUGAGACUAUCAUCUAUCUUCCUUAGCAGGGUAUUGUCAUUGGACAAAGUGUGUUGGAAUGGCUUCAAAAUUGGUUGGCUGGAAGGACUUCCAACAAGGAUGAACAUGUUCCAAUUUUAGCUUCCUAGCUUCAAGGUUAUGAAGAUAUGACUUAUGACAUAUGACUUGUCCAUUUGGAAUACCCUGUCCACCCAUUAUAAUGUAUUUGAAGUGGACACGCUUUGUCCAAUGGCAAUACCUUGCCUUACCAUUGGACACCUGUCCACUUCAAAAACCCUGACCCUAUGAUAAGGUAUUGUCAUUGGACAAAGUGUGUGCACUGGCAAUACACUACAAUGGGGCCCAGGGUAUUUGAAGUGGACAGGUGUCCAAUGGCAAUACCUUAGGCUGCCUGUCUAGGGUAUUACCAUCGGACACCAGUGCCUGACACUUCCUGACCUGACAUUGUCCUAAGCAGGGUAUUGCAAUUGGACAAAGUGUGUUGGAAUGGCUUCCAAAUUGGUAGGUUGGAAGGGCUUCCAACAGGGACAAACAUAUUCAAAUUUCAGCCUCCUAGCUUGAAGUGUUAUGGAGAUAUGACCCUGUCCAGUGGAUGACCAGGGCACAGCAAGAGGACGACACCAAUUGUUUACCACUGCUAGAGAUUUGAGAGCAAAAAUGAACAGGUGAUGACUCUGGACUUGUCCCUUUCAGCAGGCAAAAUUGGAUAUGGUGGACUAAAGACUAUCCUCGUGAAGUAUGUGUUCAAAUGACACAAGUUGAUAAAGAAUUCUCAGAAGCAAAAACAUUUAUUAAACACACUGUUAGAUCGCCAGUUUUACCCCGGUACAGGAGGUCUGGACCAGCUCUCCGUUUAAAGGGUCCAAGCUCACAGCUGUAGUGUUUUCACCCAACUUACAGUUUCUGCGGCUUUAUAAGCUGGUGAUGAGGAGAUUCGCCUAGCUACUAACUGUCUACUUCCAGAUGCCUAACCUACUACCACUAAUGUCACACCCAACCGAGUAGCCCUAUGGGUCGGAUACGAUCACCAGUCACACCUGUUUACGACAGCUCUCCUCCUAAAUAUCUUUGCACUUGGUAUGGUGCUAGGAAAUUGUUUAGUGGCUCUGUAAGCCCCAAGGGUCUGUUAAUUUGAGAGGCUGAAAUAACCUUUAGGAACCUUAUGAUGCAUUACACACUCUGACCUAGUAUUUCACCUUUCUGGGAAGAACAGAACAACUGUCCACGACUUAUCCUUAGAUACAGUUUAUGAAUUUUAUUGAAUAUAGUUCUGGCAAGGGCAAAGCAUACAGCACAAUCAUAUAAAAAGUAAAAAUAAUAUAAUUAAUUUCCCAAUUAGUAUAGUUCUGAAAUGAGUAACUCACUGAUUCCCAUAAUGAAUGCUGAAGCUGGUCACUAAGAUGGGUAUUUUGGUGAGAGAGCUGGAGGGGUUGGCAGCUUGGCCUUAGCCGACCUUUCCUCUUUUCAGGCCGGUCCUGAGAGGGGUGAGUCUCCUGACUCCGUACAAAGUCCCGGAGGACCUCGCCCGAUUCACAGUUCCUUUUUCUGGGCCUGGCAAACUUGUUAAAUCUUCAGAGAACAAUUCCUUCACUGCAAUGGGGAAAUUAAUAAUCCUUUGUGAAACUCCUCUUGCCUUGAGUCUUCUUGACAGUGAAUAAUCUCCCAGGUUCCUUCAUUCUAAUUGAAGAAAAGAAGCCCUCUUGAUGAUGGCCGAGAUACCCUCAUACCAUUCUUACAGUGCUUUACCAACUUCCCUUUUUGCUAAGACCAAACAGGCCAUCUGGUACUUUCCAGUCAUGCCACAAUCCUGCCAUUGCUUAAUCACAGUUUUGUACGAUUUUCCAUUCAUUUCAUUCAUACACACACAAUACAUCAAUUACAAUGCUUCACAUUAUAUUGAUUAACGUUUUUAGAGAUUUAAUCAAAACUGUGCAUCUUACUACCAUGGGGAGAAUCUAGCAUUAGAUCCUUUCUUUUGGCGUCGGGAGUAGGUAGAUCUCAACCUUUCCUGACAACACAAAACAUACAAUAAAGCAACAACAACAAGAGGAACACUCAAGAGCACUGCACACAAAAAUCUAUUUCAAAACUUACUUAAGAAUAUAAACUAUGUACAAUUGCCCUGAAUGGUCUCAAAGUUAUUUCUGAAACUUCAGCCUUCUCUGGGCUAUGACUCACCUCAAGCUCUCUGGACUAGCCUUUUUCAACGAGCAGUGGCAAAGUCAACACAAGGGCAUUUUGCUGAGUCUGCAAUUGAAAAUGAUAUUGACCAAACAGAUAAAAAUGUCAUUUAUAGAACUGACAAUAAAUCGUUAGCAAUAGCAAUUACUAGCUAUGAAGUGGUAAAAAUCAAAUGCUAACAUUCAAAUGCAUUGAGAAAAUAGCCAAAAGACAAAUGCAGAAUCAAAAGUUGGAAAUCAAAAUGUAAACACUGCUUAAAAAUACUAGUGUUGAAAUGCAAAAAUUUGAAUGGCAAAAGUAAUUGUUAAAGUUUAAAAUGGCUGAAAUUAGCAGGGAGAAAGGGUAGAUGCAGAAGCUGAAAGUUAAAACCAACAGCUGAAGCAUUUGUUUGAAUAGCAAAAUUGUAGAUUAAGCUGAACAUUUUUAAAAAGCAUAAGGAAUUGAAGAAAGUUGAAUAAGCAAAAAUGUGAAAAGGUAAAUAAACCUUUUGAUAGUUGAAUGGUUUCUGUAGCAGAAAGUAUGCAGGAGUAGUUACAACCCAAAAAGAGAUGGAAGCAGAAAGGAAAAACAGCUAAAUGCAGAAUCAAAAGUUGGAAGUUAAAUUGUAAAAGAGGUAGAAACAGUUGAAAGGUAAAAUCAGCUGCUGAGGGUUUGACUGAAACAGUUAAAAUGGAGAGAAAGAGGUAUGAAGUGUGUCUGGGUGUGUUUUUCAUCACCAACUGAAAUUAACUGCCAAGUUACUAUUGCUCUAAAACUUGUUUGAAGUGAAAACUGUUGAACUGUGUGUGAAUCUACAUCUUCUAUGUGGUGUGGAGACAGUUUGUAGCAGGAUUUUGACAGAAAAGUAAGUCAAGAGUUUGAUGAACAGCUCAGACAUCAGAGAUCAGCUGAUCACAAUCACCUGUUUGUGUCCAACUGCACUCAGGUUGCCAUAGCAAUAUCAAGGUCUCAGCCUCUACAGAGUCAGAUUUUGCUCUGCACACCUCUUGAACUUCUCCUAAUAAUUCAAAAACCAUAACUCCUAUCGAUAAUAUCUGGUAACUACCAGCGCCGGGAGACUUUACUGAACACAGACGUGUGUUAUUUGUGUAGAUAAAGUGAAAAAUGACCACAGUAUGGCAGUUUAAAAACUGGCCUGGUUUGGAUGAUGUCUGAGGAGACUCAAUAUGGAGAUGAAUGGAGCAGCUGAGGAGCUGAGGGCUCCUCUUGGUGAUCAGAGUCUGCUACCUCAAAAACUGUAAAUCCUAUGGCUUAGGGAGUCACACUGUGUGACAGAGCACAAAAUGAACUCAGGUUAUGGGGUUCAGCUCCAUUCAACCACAUAUACAAAGCUUGAGGUACAGUAUAACACAAUGAAAAGGCUUAAGUAAUUCAUUUCAUACUUAAAUCACAUCAGUGCACCAGAGAUAACCUACAGGCUUAUGAAAGAAAUCAGUGACUUUUUAUUUCCCAUAUGCACUUAACCUUAAAGCUACUAAACUAAAUGUUUUCAAAUUGACAGGAAACAACUUUUUUUUCUAAUUGCUGUGACUUAAAUGAAAUGAAAUAAUGACAAUGGUGGAAAGACAACAGUCUUCCUUAAUGUUAGAGAGAGAUUUUGGUUGUGGUAACAGGUGACCAAUAUAUCUGACAAGAUGAUAGCUCAUGUUCUUUUCCUCUCAACAGGAGGUCAAAGCCAGUGCUGACUCAGUCACUGUUGUUGGUGUGACAGAGGAGCAGCCAGGCAUGUCCACCCUCUUGACAGAGGAGGGAAAGAUGUUGAGGGUGGAACAUGGCCUGUGGGAGCCAUUCGAUGCCAGACUCAGGACUGGAAAAACCUGUGUUAGCCUUACUAGAGAAGGGAGAAAGGUCACAAAAAUUAGUGCUGUUGAGGACAAAUGAAGGAUGCUCCUUGUUUUCAUUGUUGGUUGUUGUUGUUUCUUUGUUGUCAUUAGUAUACAGUGUUUAUAAAAAAUGAUUUAGUUCCUUAUUUAGUUAUUAGUUAGUUCAGUUUUUAUCUGCAAAAGAUUACUAUCAAAUGUAUUUCAUUCCGAGUCAACAAAAUUGUAUUGCCAUGUGCACAAAGAAGAGAAAAAUGAGGUGUGAUGUGUGAGCAUCAUUGGGGAUUAGACCCCAUUAUUAUGUCAUCAUAUUUGAAAGGGGAUGAGGCUGUGGUAUAGGAAUAUUAUAUAUUGGUAUAGGAAACCCCCCAGGGUCUAGACCCUGGUGGUGGUGAUGAGAUGAAGAAAAUACUGAACAUCUGAAUGUGAUGAUGAAAUUAUUAUGUGUUGUCAUAUUUCUAGACUUUUUCUAACAUGAUUUAAAUUCAUCAUGUUGUGCAGUUGACUGUUUAGUUUACUACAUACUCAGAUGACUUAACAUACAAUCAUAACUACCAGAAUAGCCUUACAAUCUGUCAUGAUAAAAACCCAGUUGGGAUGUUAAUACAUUGUGUUAAUGUUGUUUAACUUCAAAAAAAUGAAUUAAUCCCAAUAUGUACAUUUUAACACAUUUAUUUAUUCACUUACAAUAUUUAUCAUUAUUCAAUAUUCAAAUCAUAUCACACCAGUAUUUAGUAUUACUAAGAUGCUGCUAAGUGCAAUCGCACACUGGGGACGGCUCAUUGCAAUUUGCAUACAGAAAACUACCAGACAAGGGCUGCGUAGUUGGCACGGUGCCGGUGUCAGCUGAAGCGGUCUCAGUUUCCAGCGGUGAUUAACACACACGUGUGUUAAGAACUGACAAUACACACUCACUUACUUAUUCUCAGGUUACCUGAACAUUUCUGCAGUUGCUUUUCUCUGGCUGCACUAUGAUAAUUUCUUAACAAAUUAGCAUAAACUAGAGAGAGAGCCGUCCAGACCACCAGUGGUGCUUCUCUAACACAGACAAUGAUAGCUGACCAGAACUUCUUGUACAGGCCAUAAGUGAGGAUGUAGCUAAAUGUAGCUUGAACUUAAGUUUCAUGCAUCUAAACUGGAAAACUGGUUAAAGUUAAUAUAAACAGAGAAGGGCUGUCAGUAGCCGUCAUACCCAGCAGUUGGUAUCAGCAGCCAAGCUUGGAAAGUAGGUCUCAAUGCAGAAGUGAGAGAAGAGUUUCACAGGUUAAUUGUAUUUUUAACCACUGUUCUCAGAGGCUGAUAACAAACAUGCAUACAAAUUAUAUCAUAUCUCAGAUAUGCCACAAAAAUGGCUGCAACAGAAUAUGGAGUCAAGUAGUCAUCUGUAGUGUUUGAACUUGACUUUUGUAAGGCAGGGCUGAACAACGUAUGUUACCAUCAGUCAUCAUCUGUGUAGGCAUCUCUCUGUCACUCAUUCUAUGAAGGUGUUACAGGAGGCACAGAGCUCAAUCAUUCUGUGUGGAUUAAAAACUGCAGUGAGGAUUAUUGAGGGUAAAUAUCAAAUGAAUGCAGUGUGACAGGAUAGGGCAACAACAAAAUGUAACAUAUUUUAUGCUCAUAAACAGAUGAAAGGUGACACAUUUGUGAACCCAGAGCUUUUGACAUUAGAACAUGGAGUACAUGGUGUCUUUUUUGUUGGACAGCAUUGAUCUCAGUGGUUUCUACACAGAAUUGUUCAGCCUUACCACCAAAGGCUUCUCACACAGUGGUUAGACUUGAUCUAAUGUGCUCAGUAGUCUGUAGUGUAAAAAGCCAACAGCUAUGUGAUGUGCAAAGAGUAAAGUGUCAGGGCGUAGCAAUGUGGACACAGGCGCAGACAGGAGGCAGAGGCAGAGUUACCAAAAUCAAGGUCCUUUAAUCAAACGAGGUCGGUACACAGGAGGGCAAACAGAGAAAGCAACGGUACAAAAAGGACUAGAGCUGAGGCAAGGUCAAAAAACACAGGCGAGGGUCAAAACCUCUGACACUAAAUACACAGGAGCAGGGCAGACAAUGAGACACAGGUGAACCACAUUAGGGCAGGGUAGGUAAUCAACAGGAGGAGGGGGAAGACAAGACACCUGAAACAAGAGGGAGGUAGUGAUUACAAAAUAAAACAGGAAAUAGAACAAACAACAACAGAACUACAAAAGAAAAGCCCUGGCUCAGAACUGACACCCAGACAUAAAGUGCCUUUAAAAAGCAGAAUAUUGCAGCAAGUUUAUGAUCUUAAAGGAAUAUUGUGAUGAAAUGGUAUUGUCAUUAUUUACUGUAUGAUUCAAAGUAACUCAAAAGAAAACCUGUGUUAAAUGUCACUGUGUGAGAGUAGAUGUUUGUGUUCACUGCAUAUAAAGCAUGCUUUUGUAUAAUGCUUAUUAAAGUGUGAAAAAGAGAAAUAAUUUUUAAAAGUGAUACAAGGAAGAGUUAAGAAAGAAUGGUGUAAAAGUAAAAGAUAACUUUUUAAAAAAAAAAAAUAUAAUCAGGUCAGACUAGGACAUAAUGGUGUAUAACAGAGAGAGUGAACACGUCAGAUGAGGACAGGGCCAGCUUUGACCUGACCCAGCAAGCGAAACUUGGCAAGAGAAAAGUCCAGGUGCAUUCCAGGAGAUAUUGGCAUAUGACAAAUAAGUUGAUAAGUUGAUUUUAAUGAAUGGGACCAAGGAUGGACAGUUAGACUAACCAAUGUUUUAAUGGUGUAAAUUUGAUAAACCAAUAAAAUGACCUAAGAGGCGUAGAAAGUCACAGCCAAAACUGUAUAUAAAGAGUAUAUACAGAGCCAGUACAUUUUUGGAGCAUUUCUGGUGUAUAAUGUAUGCACUGUGAACGGUUCCUGGGUUUCUUUGUCGACAAAUAAACUCUGCUGCUUUGGACACUGCCAUCUCCUGAUAAUUUUUGGACAUCUGAAUUAGGCUGAAGAAUUCUGAUUGUAGCCCAGUGGAUUUGGGACUUUAAACCCAAGUCCACAUCAAGUCCAUGACUCAACAACUCCAGCAAAGCUCCACUGUCAUAUCAUACCAACAUGAUCAGUUCAGGUGUAUGUUAUCCAACAUUUGAAUGUGUUUUUCAAAGUGUAAUUCACCUGUGUGACUUCAGGUGAGAGGAGUAACAUGGGAACAAUCACAUCAUUAGACAAGGCCCAUGUGAAAACCCUGAGCUUCAGUUUCACACACAUUUUACCACUGGAGUUGUAAACAGUGUAUGACUCAUGUCUGUACCCAGAGCUUUAGAUUAGAUCAAGGCUAAGUGCACAAAUGUGAGAAACCUUUAACAUACAUACCAGCUUACACCCCACACUAAUGAUUAAGAUGACUAAAACCUGGCCUCUCCUCCAGGUUAAUUAGUUGACGUGCCUGUGGCACCUGAACUAAUUGACCUGUUUUCCCUCUCUAUCUGUUUUCUCUAUCUAUUGAUGAAGAGACAGGUGGGCGGUUGGGGGGGUGGGAGGAAAGGAAAUGAAAUGAAAAAGGAAUAAAUUCUUAUGAGAUGCAACAUAUCUCAGUUGGGUAGAGGUCAACAGUCCAAAAGAUCCUUUAAACUGCAGAGCUGUUUUCAGAGACACAGUCAUUCUGUCCAGGGUUCAUAGUUUGUUCUGUCAUGAUGCUCUUCAGUCAGUUGUUGGCACAAACCAAAACUGUCAACAGAGCACAGUGUCAGCAUGAAGAUGGACUGACCUUUGACCUUUCCAGUGGCUGUAGAGCUUCUGCUUUCAGUCAUCUGGUCAGUGUCAAUGAAAAUGGAGGACACAGAGGUGCAGAGACCUUAAAGAGAAAAACAGAGAUUUGGUAUGGCAGGAGUAGGAGAAUAAAACUGCUACCUUUAACACGUGUUGGAGGAUGAGCUUGAUGUUGCAGAGAGGAAGCACACAGUGCCAUCUCACAUAGUUCACUAGCUUGUGGAGCUGUGCAGUGGUCUCUACUGUGAAGUGGAGAAUCACAGUGAAGGAAGACCUGAAGGAAGAAGUUCAUAAGCCUGAGCACUGAGGAGGAACAGGGUCUCUGUGUGGUCCAGCACUGAUGACUCUGCUGUUGAUCAACAGUCAGGAUGGUGCUGUGAUGACUGGUCUGUGGCAGGAUGAUGUCUUUGCUGUAGUCAGCUGAUCCAGUGUCCGAGAGUCACAGAGAAGGUGAGGCAAAGGUUGGCAGGAGUUAUCUCAUCGUCUGCUUUGAAGAAUGACUGGGACUGGCAGGAAGUAGAACAUGUCUCUGUGUGGUCCAGCACUGCACUGUAGCAGUACAGCUUUGUACACAGAAAGAUGUACGUGUAUAUAUACACUGUAAUGCUGUAUAUAUACACACAUGUAUAUGUUUCAGUAGCUGUAUAGAACUGCUGUGUUUUUAAGCAGUUGUAUGGUUGUACAACUGCUCUGCUUUACAGCAGUUCUAUACAGCUACUGAAAGUUUUGGCCUGUGUAUUUACCAACCCAGACCCAAAACCCACCCUGAUAAAUACACAGGCCAAAACACAAGGGAAGCAUAACUCACUGACAUAUAGUUACCUGAAAGAUUAUAUGACCUAUAACAUUAUCCAAUACUCUUAACAGUCCUGAUUACCAGUUAAACAGUAAAAUUAGGUUUCCUAACAGUUACAUUAGUUAGUUUUGGACAGUUAAAUUAGUUCAACAACAAUGUUACCUAAAAACUACAACAUGACCCUCACUGUAUUUACCUUACCUUACUCAUUGGAGGAACCUGAACAGAAUACAUCACUGUGACAGUAUUUUACCAGGUGACAUACAAAGACAGUGUUAUGGUUGAGGGAUAAAAAUGAUAAGCACUUUGUCAAACAUUGUGUUAUUCCUCACAAAGAAACCUUGCAGUUUGUUAUUUUAUAGGAGUCCUCUGGUCCUCCCUCCCUCCCUCACAGCCUCAGUGAGGCUGGAACAGCCUGUGGUCUGGCUGUAUAGAGGACCCCCGAAUUUAGAUCAUAUUAAACUGCUAUGACUGUCUUCUCAAACCAAACUGUUAUUAGAACAUUUAACUCUCUUUCAUCAUUAUCACUUAGUCUAUACUCCACUGUAGUAUGCUUUUUAGAACUCACUGUUGUGCUCUACUUUUCUCACAAUUUCACACAAAGUUCUCAUAAACUACUUUCUCAGAUCUCUGCACUGAAAAUGUGGAUUUUAGAUUCAAAUCAUUUGCAUUUUUCUUUACCUUUCAGACUCAGCUGACAGUACACAGUACACAGGGUCGUGAUAGCUGUAAUAGGUUUUCAUCACACCAGAAUAGAGACAUCUCUGUUGUUGUGAGAUGAAGAUCAGGUCCAGCAGUGUGUUCUUCUCUGUGGUUGCAGCAGUGAUGAGUUGUGCGUAUCCUUGCGUAGCCACAAACUCAAGGUGGAGACUCUCAGCAACAAAGGAGCCCUGUAGGUGAGUUUCUGUGAGACAAAACACAUCUGCCAGACACAUAUCAACAUCCUGCUCAUUAUCAGGCUCAUGUUCUGCCUCAUGAAGUGCACCAUUGUCCAACCUGUCAAUUUCCAUUAGAUGAUCCUCAUUCAUUAUCAUCAUCAUCAUCAUCAUCAGGGAGUGUGGGGUCACACAGCUCAGCCUCAUCUCUGAUACUUAUGUCCUCAUACUGUGGGUGAAUGUGUUUCAGUUUAUUCAGGGCCUGUAGCAGUUUAGACCAGGUGACAGUCUGGAACAGCUGAUGACCUCUGUAACACAAUCGUCUCUUCAGUUUGACUCUCAGGACUUGAGACUCACUUCUCAGUCUGGGUAACGCUUCAACUGUUUCCUGCACCUCAGAUGGGACACACACCACAUUACCACGUAUUGCUCUCUGUCUGCCUUUGGGAAGUGAGAUGAUCUUAGCAAAUGGAAAACACUUGGCGAUCAGAUGUCUCUCCAAAAUGUUGAGGUCACACAGCUCAGGUGGAAUAUCAACAAGCUCCAUGUUGUUGGCUACAGCCAGAGAGGGCAUGGCUCCUUUUUAAGAUGAUCAUGACAGGUGUGACAGAUCCAUUCAUCCUUUCUCUCAUCAGGAACUUUACACUGUUCAUUUCUGCAGCCGUCAUCACAAACAUGAACAUAUUUUCCUGUCAGACAUUCAGCAGCCACUUCUACAGUGCAGACAUUGAUCAUGAGCAUAACGCUGAGUGACAUAAGAUUACUGCUUCUGCCUGAAUUCUUCAGUUUCCCUGUAUCUUUUGUAUUUGUGUCACAACUGAACUAGGACGUGAACCCAAAUGCACAACUCAGACUCAAAAGUACGAAAUGAACAAAUCUUUAAUAGACAAAGUAACAACAGAAAAUCACUCACAAGGAGGCAAAAACUAUGAAACAAACAAGGCAAGACAAGGGAUCAAAAACUUGGUGUGACUGGAACUCGAGGUGCAGGCUGGCUUGUCUCUCUGAAUGAACAGGACAAACCAGCACAGGACAAAGGGAGACACAGACUCUAAAUAGACACAAGGUAAGGGGGAACAGGUGGAGACAAUCAGGGCGGGGCAAGCAAUCAGACAGGAGGGAAACACAUGAGGGGAAGAGGCAAGUGACCUGAAACGAGAGGAGAGUAAGAUUUCAAAAUAAAACAGGAAGACACAAGACAACAUGAAGACAGGACAACACAGCAGUGAGUUAACAUAAUUUCUUGGACAUGACAAUUUGUUGCUUGAAUAAGAUUUCUUUUUGACUAUAUGAUUCAUUAGAAGAAUACUUUUCCUUCUCUUUUCUUUUUUGGUUUGCUUUUCUUUUUGGUGCUUUCCUUGAGAUCAUUAGUCUCCUCUGAAAUUUUCUCCUUUCAUUUUUACCAAGUUUGACCAGUUUAGAGGAGAGGUCAUGUGAGACUUUAUCAGACAGAUCACUGGCAGCAGGUUUUAUCAGUGGAACAGUUGAGAGUGAUUCUUUGUGAGGAGCAUCAUGUGCUGUGACAGAAUUAAAGCUGAACUGGCUCAAUGGUUGUGGUUCAGUUUCCAUACUUUAUGCUUCAUGUAACAUGUCAUCAGAGAGGUCAGUGACCACAGUGUUUGUCUUUGGAGCAUCAACCACAACAGGACUGGGAGUUGUAGUCUGAGUGUCUGGGAUGGCUUCACUCUGAUUGGCUGUGUUCUCACUGUGAAACUCCACAGGCUUCAGCUCAUAGUUACAGGUGGACUGUGUACCAAAGCUCUUGUGACACAUUUUGAUGCUGUCAAUCAUGUCACUGAUAUGUGUGAAUGUCACCAUGACAGCUUUACCAGCAAACAGUGACGGCAAACCAUCCUCUCCUCUGGGGUGUGGGUCAAAGAAACCGUACCUGCCUGAUCUGGUUCUGAACACUGCCAUACACAACCCUGUCAUCAACAGCAAGGCAUACUGCACAUCUGACAGCAGACAGCUCAGUCCAGCCUCCAGGUCCAGAAAACUGUCCACAGCUCCAGGUAAAGGAUCUCCUAAUGUGCCGUACCGGGAAAGUAG